ACGGAAGGCAGCAGUGGGGAAUAUUGGACGAUGGGGGGAACCCUGAUCCAGCGACGCCGCGUGAGUGAAGAAGUAUUUCGGGAUGUAAAGCUCUAUAAGCAGGAAAGAUAAUGACGGUACCUGCAGAAUAAGCCCCGGCUAACUACGUGCCAGCAGCCGCGGUAAUACGUAGGGGGCAAGCGUUAUCCGGAUUUACUGGGUGUAAAGGGAGCGUAGACGGUUUUGCAAGUCUGAAGUGAAGGCCCGUGGCUUAACUGCGGGACUGCUUUGGAAACUGUCGGACUAGAGUGUCGGAGAGGUGAGUGGAAUUCCCAGUGUAGCGGUGAAAUGCGUAGAUAUUGGGAGGAACACCGGUGGCGAAGGCGGCUCACUGGACGAUUACUGACGUUGAGGCUCGAAAGCGUGGGGAGCAAACAGGAUUAGAUACCCUGGUA
rnacentral:rRNA from 1 species